rnacentral:rRNA from 1 species
GAUGAACGCUGGCGGCGUGCCUAAUACAUGCAAGUCGAGCGAACAGAUAAGGAGCUUGCUCCUUUGACGUUAGCGGCGGACGGGUGAGUAACACGUGGGUAACCUACCUAUAAGACUGGAAUGACUCCGGGAAACCGGGGCUAAUGCCGGAUAACAUUUAGAACCGCAUGGUUCUAAAGUGAAAGAUGGUUUUACUAUCACUUAUAGAUGGACCCGCGCCGUAUUAGCUAGUUGGUAAGGUAACGGCUUACCAAGGCAACGAUACGUAGCCGACCUGAGAGGGUGAUCGGCCACACUGGAACUGAGACACGGUCCAGACUCCUACGGGAGGCAGCAGUAGGGAAUCUUCCGCAAUGGGCGAAAGCCUGACGGAGCAACGCCGCGUGAGUGAUGAAGGUCUUCGGAUCGUAAAACUCUGUUAUUAGGGAAGAACAAAUGUGUAAGUAACUGUGCACGUCUUGACGGUACCUAAUCAGAAAGCCACGGCUAACUACGUG